AAUUAUUGGGCGUAAAGAGCUCGUAGGCGGUUUGUCGCGUCUGCUGUGAAACUGGGGGCUCAACCCCCAGCCUGCAGUGGGUACGGGCAGACUAGAGUGCGGUAGGGGAGAUUGGAAUUCCUGGUGUAGCGGUGGAAUGCGCAGAUAUCAGGAGGAACACCGAUGGCGAAGGCAGAUCUCUGGGCCGAACUGACGCUGAGGAGCGAAAGGGUGGGGAGCAAACAGGCUUAGAUACCCUGGUAGUCCACCCCGUAAACGUUGGGAACUAGUUGUGGGGCCGUGACGCAGCUAACGCAUUAAGUUCCCCGCCUGGGGAGUACGGCCGCAAGGCUAAAACUCAAAGGAAUUGACGGGGACCCGCACAAGCGGCGGAGCAUGCGGAUUAAUUCGAUGCAACGCGAAGAACCUUACCAAGGCUUGACAUACAGGUGGUGCAUGGUUGUCGUCAGCUCGUGUCGUGAGAUGUUGGGUUAAGUCCCGCAACGAGCGCAACCCUCGUUCUAUGUUGCAACUCAUGGGAUACUGCCGGGGUCAACUCGGAGGAAGGUGGGGAUGACGUCAAAUCAUCAUGCCCUUAUGUCUUGGGCUUCACGCAUGCUACAAUGGCCGGUACAAAGGGCUGCAAUACCGUAAGGUGGAGCGAAUCCCAAAAAGCCGGUCCCAGUUCGGAUUGAGGUCUGCAA
rnacentral:rRNA from 1 species